AAGAAGUGGCAGCCGCCUGGGGUCUGUGAAGAAGAAGAAGAAGAAGAAGAAGAAGAUGGUGGAAGAAUCUGGGAGAGGGAGUUUUGGAUAUUCGGAAGGCUUUGGCAUGGGCGGGUGGGGAAGAUAACUUUUAUUAAUUUGUGUCUUCCCUACUCCGCCCAUGCCAUAGGUUUCCGAUUGUUCCUCCCUCUCACUCUUGCUUUCUCUGCCCUAACCCUCCAUCUCCGUCUGUGAUUCUGUGCGCUUCAUGUGACUAGACUCCUUCGAUCAUAGCUACAGCUCUACUGAUGAAUAAUAAUUUGACGCGGAAUAAUGAUGGAGAAAAAGGAUUUGCUUCAAUAAUUAACGAAUGCUUGUUGUGCUAUGCUUGUAUAUAUGCUCUGGAAUUGUCAAAAUAAAUAAUGAUGCGCAAGUUGUUUGAGCUAUCACAAUACUGUUGGCUUUACAAUAGCAGCAGCUUCACGGAUUUUAUUUUUAUUUUUAUUUUUUGAAGUCCCGAAUCGUAUGGAAUAGCAAGGUGGGUCUGGCACUGUUGAUUCUGGCUCCGACUGUUUUCCUGAUUCCUAUAAUAAUAGGGACUGUUUGUGUGUUGUGAGGCCCAUGGCAAGUGAAUCCGAGGUCCUGUGUAACUGUUGACAGAUUCCUUCCAGAUCCAGGUCAAGAUGUGCAUAUGAUGAUAUUUGACAUAUCCCAAGAAAAGCAACACCUAACAAAAUGGCCAAACGUGGCAAAUCUAUGACAUAAGCUAUUGCCAGUGGAUCACAUAUUAAGAUAAGAUUUGUACACAAAAGAAAAGCAAAAUGGAAUAUGGCUGGCUGGGCAAGAUUUGUUUCUUUUAAGUAAA